CCCGCUGAACUUAAGCAUAUCAAUAAGCGGAGGAAAAGAAACUAACAAGGAUUCCCCUAGUAACUGCGAGUGAAGCGGGAGAAGCUCAAAUUUAAAAUCUGGUGGCCUUUGGCCAUCCGAGUUGUAAUUUAGAGAAGCGUCUUCCGCGCUGGACCGUGCACAAGUCUCCUGGAAUGGAGCGUCGUAGAGGGUGAGAAUCCCGUCUUUGGCACGGACGCCCAGUGCUUCUGUGAUGCGCUCUCGAAGAGUCGAGUUGUUUGGGAAUGCAGCUCAAAAUGGGUGGUGAACUCCAUCUAAAGCUAAAUAUUGGCGAGAGACCGAUAGCGAACAAGUACCGUGAGGGAAAGAUGAAAAGCACUUUGGAAAGAGAGUGAAACAGUACGUGAAAUUGUUGAAAGGGAAACGCUUGAAGUCAGUCGCGUCGUCCGAGACUCAGCCUCGCCUCGGCUUGGUGUACUUCUCGGAUGACGGGUCAGCAUCAAUUUUGCCCCUUGGAUAAUGGCGAGGGAAAUGUGACACCUUUGCGGGUGUGUUAUAGUCUCUAGUCGCAUGCAAGGGUCGGGAUUGAGGAACUCAGCACGCGCCUCAUCGGUGUCGGGGCCUUUUGGCCUACGUUACGUGCUUAGGAUGCUGGCAUAAUGGCUUUAAACGACCCGUCUUGAAACACGG
rnacentral:rRNA from 1 species